UAUUCUAAUGGUGGUGGGUAAAUCCUAUUAUGUCCUAAAGGUCAUGUCCUGUCCUUAGAAUUUGAGUGGGGGAAUGUAAAUUCUUAAUCCCAUCAGCUCCAGUCUGGGGGAGAUGUGGCUGAAGGUGAGUUUGUUUGUGAAUAGGCUGCCCUGGAUUUCUGUAAACGGAUAUUGAAUGGAAUACUUCAUUCUCCUUAGAUACAAAAGUGUCUCAUUCAUAAAAAGUAAUUGUGCUUUCCUGAUAAUGGAAAGAAGUAAAUGAUUUUAUCCUAAGAAAGCCUUCUUUGUGGGGGAGAAUGGGGUGCUGACUUCCUACACCAGUGACCAAAUUCAAUUUUACAACCUUUUUACAAUGGUCAUGAAACAAAUCACCACAGUUGUAAAAUGAAUUAAAUAGUUGAUAAGCAAAUCUAUUCUUCCAAAUGGGCCUUUUUGUUGGAAACCAGUAAAAAAAACCAUAGGAAAUCGACAAUAAAAAUAGAAAUCGUUGUGAUUGUGGGAGGCUGCAAUCCGUCAUAGAUGUGAACUGCUUGUCAAGCAUCUGAAAUGAGAUUGUAGGAAGGAAAGAGUUGUAACUCCAAGAACAGGUUGGAAGUAACUUUUUAAAGUCUGCUGUAAGUUUGUAUCGUCGUAAGUUGGGACUAACUUUCCUGGUACUGUUGUGUCUGCGCCCCCCGAACCAGGCCUCCUGCCAGAAAGUGACUUGGAAAGUGAGGGGGAAGGGCCGUCAGGACUUACCUCGGGAGCACCGGCUUCCCUGGCUCAGCUCAAGGAGCCAGAGGCAGGCCAGGUGGAAGAGAUAACGAGGCCUCCGUCCCCUGACUCUUUCCCACCCCAGGCCACGCCUCCAGACCCAGCUGAUGGCAAUCAGGCUUGGUUGGACCAUAGGUUUCGUAGGCAGGAGAGGACGGAAUAACAGAAGCAGGGAUGGGGCAGGCCUAGGAAGUGCUGAGUCAUGGAGCCACAUCCCACAGGAUAUAAAGGCAGCAAGAGCUGGUGUGCCUCUUCGUAGCAGGCAAAUCAAUUGAUUAACUAAGAGCUGAAGUUUGUUCCUGGUUGACUCAUCGGCGUCGAGGGAGAUAACAGAGACACUUGGCAUACGCUUGCUAUUUUGCUGCCAGAGCUGAUAGUGCCGGCUAAUUAAGCCAUCGCUCGGACGGAGGCGAAGGAGGACAGAACAGGUAAUAUAUGUGCUAGUCGUUCCUGACUCUAGGGGGCGGUGCUCAUCUCCGUUUCAAAGCCGAAGAGCCAGUGCUGUCCGAAGAUGUCUCCGUGGUCAUGUGGCCAGCAUGACUCAACGCCAAAGGCGCAUGGAACACUGUUACCUUCCCACCAAAGGAUUUCUAUAUCCCUUAAGGAAGACCUCUUAGGAACCUGAAAGCUUCCAUACUGUUAAAUUAACAAUUUGUUAACUUAAUAAAAAAAUUGCCUUCCUGUAGAUUCUUUUUUUACAUGGUCCACAACAUCUGCUUUUGCUUUUUAUUCCUUACAUUAAACUUUAAAGCCUAUUUACGUAGGCUGUCAGCUGAUUGUAGCUUGCUUAU